CAGCAGCCACGGGAAUACGAAGGGUGCAAGCGUUACUCGGAAUUACUGGGCGUAAAGCGUGCGUAGGUGGUGGUUUAAGUCCGUUGUGAAAGCCCUGGGCUCAACCUGGGAAUUGCAGUGGAUACUGGGUCACUAGAGUGUGGUAGAGGAUAGUGGAAUUUCCGGUGUAGCAGUGAAAUGCGUAGAGAUCGGAAGGAACGUCUGUGGCGAAGGCGACUAUCUGGGCCAACGCUGACACUGAGGCACGAAAGCGUGGGGAGCAAACAGGAUUAGAUACCCCAGUAGUCCCUGUCUCUUAUAC
rnacentral:rRNA from 1 species